AAGAAUUGCUUUUUGGCUAGAUAUUCGAUUUUUUUGGGUUCAGUAGAGCAUAUUGUAGGAAUCAAAAUUGGGCAAUCUGUCUGCCAAUUGGAAGUUUUGGGCAAUCAGUUAAGUUUAUUCAGUUCGUUGAUCGGAUGGACAGAGAUGGCUCAAAGGUAAAAUGGAAGAAUGCCUGAGAUGUGGUUGACUUGGGAGUUUUCCAGCUUUUUAUUGGAAUGAAUCCUGUGGUUUUGGAUAACCGAGUUGUUCAUAUGCUAGCUAGAACUCAGAAGGUCCUAAUUAAAUCCUGUAGAUGAUGUGACACCUUCUACAUCACAUGUUCAGUUCUUUGAUAUACAAAAGAACCUUCUUUUGUGUUAGUUUUAGUGUAGAUACAUGUAGUUUGAAACUUAGAAAGCUGCACACAAUUUUACAAUUCAAAACAUCUUAAGAAGAAAAAUGCAAGUAUCAAGGCUGACUAGAUUAAUGAGUAGGAGUCUGAGGCCCCCUUUGGUAGGACUUCCAAACCGGCUUCACCACCGGCUUGUGGUGAAGCCCUUGAAGGGAUACGAGGUAAGCUACGCUAGCGCAAAUCAAAAUUUUUCUACCGCGUAAAUCAGGAAAAAAUGUCAUAUAAGGAUCACGGGAUUACCACUCGACGCACUGGUGCGGAAGAUGUAGAAUCGCGUUGGGGCAGCGAAGUCGAUCAGCGUAGUUGAACGUAGUCGAUCACGUCGAUGUCGAGCAGCUCCUCAGCAGCUCGUCCACGUGCAGCAAGAUCGUCCUCGUGCCGCGGCUCGUCGGCGGCUUGUUGUGGCUCGUCGUGGCUCGUCGGCGGCUCGUCCAAGUGCUGCAAGCGCAACACCUCCAAGGUAUCCACACGUGCAGGGAGGAAGCGUCGCAAGCCAGACUGCUAGAUCCGCGAGUUGCAACAGGCGAGGGCGUGGGAGGCGCGGCAGAUGUGUUUCGCCAAAAAGGUGUAAACCCUAGGGCGCCCCCACCCCUCUAUUUAUAGAGGUUCCUAACGGGCCUCUAGGUCCGAGGCCCAUUAGUACUUCUAAACCUAAUCCAACUCGGAUCACAUCCGAAUUGGGCUUCCAGCCCCUUAAGUGUGUGACCCUAUGGGUUCGGAUACGUAUAGACAUGGCCCGAGUACUCCUACUCGGCCCAAUAGUCGGUAGCGGCCUCUAGCAAGACGUGCCAACUCCUAUACGCACACGAAGAUCAUAUCAGACGAACCGUCACAACAUUAUGUACAUGCUAUUUCCUUUGCCUCACGAUAUUUGGUCUAGCUUCAAGCCGACCGUUCUUUCUCGAUCCUGUGAUUCAGAAUCCCUUUGUAGGUUAACUCUUAACCGUACGUAGCAUGGCCAUGCAUUUUCGAAUCCGAUCACUCGAGGGGCCCAGAGAUAUCACUUUCAAUCAGAGAGGGGCAAAUCCCAUCUUGAUUGACCAUGUCUCACAGCAUGCUUCUUGACAAACCCGAAAGCUACCUUUUUAACUACCCUGUCACGGUGUAGCGUUUGAUAGCCCCUAACUAAGCCGAUCCACAUCUUGAAUACAUGCGACAAUCUCAAGUCUAAGGACAAAGCGUACAUGUUGUGUAAAGAGAGAACUACUUCUCGUGUUGGGUCAGUCCUAGCACAUGUCUCCACAUGUGCCCACAUUAUUAGUUUAACAUCUCCAUGUCCAUGACUUGUGAAACAUAGUCAUCAACUAAUACAUGUGCUAGUCUAAUAUUCAUGUGUGUCCUCACAUGAACCCCGACUAGGGACAACUUUAGAAAAACCAUACAAGUAAAGAGUUUCACAUACAAUUCACAUAAUUGCAAAUCAAUUCAGGUAGCCUUUAAUGGAUAUUCAAUGAACACAAUAUACAAAUCAUGGAUACAAAUGGAAUAUCAUGAUCUCUAUGAUUGCCUCUAGGGCAUACCUCCAACAGCCCUACCAAACGGCUCAGCAGAGAAUGGCUUCAGCGGAGGAGCCGCUUGAAUCCCGCUGACUGGAGCUGUUCUGUGGAGGGGGAGCCAAAAAAAUUGGCUCCCUGCGGCUCCUCCUGUCGAUUUGCCACCGUUGUCCUUAGGUGGGGCCUGCGGGUGAAGCGAGGCAGCACAAGGAUGCUGGGCAGUGAGCGAGGAUGCUGAGCAAUGAGCGAGGAUGCUGGACAGUGAGCGGAGGUGCCGGUCGGCGGCGGGCAGAGCGACGGUGGCGCGUCGUGGAGGCGGCCAGCGGCGGGCGCUGGAGCGGAGACACCGGCGGGUGCGGGGGUUGGCUGGCAGCAGGGAGUGGAGACGUCGAUCGGUAGUGGGCGUAGAAGCUCGGGCUAGAGGCCGACGACGACCGACGCUAGGGGAGAAGGAUGGUGAGGCCCGAGCAGGGGGGAGCUCGAUGGCAGCGCCAGGGGGAGCUUGAUGUCGAGGUUGGGCGGGGGGAGCUUGAUGGCGAGGUCGGGUGGGGGGAGCUUGAUGGCGAGGUUGGGUGGGGGGAGCUCGAUGGUGGCGCCAGGGGAGUGGACGGCAAGGCCCAAGCGGGAGGAGGAGGAAUACAGCGGUCUGUGGAUAGGAAUGAGGACGACGGGUCACGAGUCAAAUGGAUAAGGAAGCUCGGAAGAAAAAGAAAGGGGCAGGAAAGUAGGAAAAGAGGGGGAAAAAGAAAAGAAAUAAGGAAAAAAAGAGAAAAUGCAUUAAUUUUUUCAUUUCAUAUGAUAAAUCACACUACAAUUGAGGCUGAAUGGAUAAGGAGGAUGGGGAAAGGGAAGGAAAUGGAGUGAAGAAAUAAUGGGAAGAAAAGAGAAAAAGAAAAGGAAAAAUGAGAGGGGUAUUAUAGGUAUUUCAUCCUCUUAUCUAUGUUACACAGCCAGGAGAAGCCGUUUUGCCAAACAUUUUUUCAACCAGACAAGCCAAAGCCAAAAAAAGCUGCUUCAUCGGAGAAGCAACAGCCGCAGCCAUUUUAGACACUGCCGCAGCCUUGCAAAACGAGUCCUGAGACUGUGUUAAAGUUCUGUAACCGUCCCUGCAUGAGAGCUCGAGGCAUGUCUAGGUUGUGUUACCAUCUCUAGGCCACUACGAACCAAGUUGAAACUGAGUCCAACUAGCUUUUGAGUUCGAGCACUGUGUCCAAGUCUAAAGCUAUGCCAGGAUAUCACAUAUCAGGCUGUGUGAAGACAUCAACUCUAGGGACAUAUUGAGAAAACAAGUUAAGCAGGAAAUUGUUGGAUAUUUAAUUUUUUUCUUGGGUAUAAAAAGUAAAGUUGGGAUGCAUACAUGUCAGUGCUGGAACUCAGUAAUAGCUUCCUGUAGUUGUUACUUAAAUGAAUAAAACCUACACGGUUAUCAAAUGAGCUCAAAUACACACAGUUAACAACACAAGUAUAGCUGAAUAAUCCCCCUUAAUGUCGUUGUUAUAAACAAAUAUUCUCCUUUUUCUUAAUUUGCUCCUGUGAAUCACCCCAAUAUCUUUUGUUUGUUGGGUUUUCUUCUUGUUUCAGGACAAGUCUGUUAAGCCUUGGAAAGAGAAAUUCAAGGAUGACGGGAUUGAACUUAUGAUACCUGCACAUGUAGAUGAUUUGGCCGCUCAAAUCAUUCAGUUGUUGGUCCAGAUAGAGUGUUGAAAUCGACAUUACAGCAGAGUAUGUUUUCCACAGUCCAAACUUAGAUUUCUUUUUUGUUAUCUCACACAUUAAUUGUUCUACGUUUGGGCGUACGCCAUCAUGCUCUGACCUCUGAGAUGGCUGGUGCUAAAUUCAUUCUUAACAAGCGAACCCAUUAACUAAAAGCAUCACCUGCUCCACACUUGAGUAUGUUAAUAUCUUGCCUGCAGACAACUUGAUAACCUUUUUUAUUUUGCAGUUGCUAUUUUCUCUUAUCAAUCCGUCAGCCGCCCCAAGCAACAUGUUAGUGUUUCUUGCAAGCCUUUGCUAGACAGGUGAGAUAACAAAAAAGAAAUCCAAGUUUGGAUUGUGGAAAACAUACUCUACAAAAAAGAAAUCUAAGUUUGGAUUGUGGAAAACAUACUCUGCUGUAACCUGUCUAGCAAAGGCUUGCAAGAAGCACUAACAUGUUGCUUGGGGCGGCUGACGGAUUGAUAAGAGAAAAUAGCAACUGCAAAAUAAAAAAGGUUAUCAAGUUGUCUGCAGGCAAGAUAUUAACAUACUCAAGUGUGGAGCAGGUGAUGCUUUUAGUUAAUGGGUUCGCUUGUUAAGAAUGAAUUUAGCACCAGCCAUCUCAGAGGUCAGAGCAUGAUGGCGUACGCCCAAACAUAGAACAAUUGAAGUUGACUUUCUCUGCAUACCUCAUGUCAAUGGCCAGACUAGCGCGUUUUAGGACAUUUUUAUUUUAUGCCUUACAAUUUUGGUUAGCUUCUAAUCCUGGUGUUGGUUCAACUUCAAUUUCCUACUAUCUUUAUGUUGCUUGGUACAACUGGAACUCCCAAUUUCAGUUUUUAAGUUGCACUUUCUUGGCAUUUUAGUAUGCAUUCCACAGGACUUUUGAUCUCACAUCGCUAGUGUAGAAUCUAUUUUGAUUCACCACCUCCCUUUCGCUGCACUGUUCCUGUGCUCUUACAUGUGCCUGGCCGCCUGCUUCAACAUUGAAUCAAAUCAAACUAUGAACAUAGCGUCCUGUUUAAGGACCAUAAUGUUGGCACUUGUGGUACAGUGCUGAACACUUUGGCUGUUUUGUAUUUUACCAGCUAAUGUAUUCAUCUUGAUUGGAAUGUCUAAUAGAUGCUGCAUCUAUUGAGAGCUUUGUGCCACAUAGACUCAUAGUGAAAAAUUGCUUUUUGGCUAGAUGUUCGAUUUUUUUGGGUUCAGUAGAGCAUAUUGUAGGAAUCAAAAUUGGGCAAUCUGUCUGCCAAUUGGAAGUUUUGGGCAAUCAGUUAAGUUUAUUCAGUUCGUUGAUCGGAUGGACAGAGAUGGCCCAAAGGUACAAUGGAAGAAUGCCUGAGAUGUGGUUGACUUGGGAGUUGUCCAGCUUUUUAUUGGAAUGAAUCCUGUGGUUUUGGAUAACAGAGUUGUUCAUAUGCUAGCCAGAACUCAGAAGGUCCUAAUUAAAUCCUGUAGAUGAUGUGACACCUUCUACAUCACAUGUUCAGUUCUUUGAUAUACAAAAGAACCUUCUUUUUUGUUAGUUUUAGUAUAGAUACACGUAGUUUGAAACUUAGAAAGCUGCACACAAUUUUACAAAAAUCUUAAGAAGAAAAAUGCAAGUAUGAAGGCUGACUAGAUUAAUGAGUAGGAGUCGGAGGCCCCUUUUGGUAGGGCUUCCAAACCGGCUUCACCACCGGCUUGUGGUGAAGCCCUACCAAACGGCUCAGCACAGAAUGGCUUCACCAGAGGAGCCGCUUGAAUCCCGCUGAUUGGAGCUGUUCUGUGGAGGGGGAGCCAAAAAAAUUGGCUCCCUGCGGCUCCUCCUGUCGAUUUGCCACCGUUGUCCUCAGGUGGGGCCCACGAGUGAAGCGAGGCAGCACGAGGAUGCUGGGCAGUGAGCGAGGAUGCUGAGCAAUGAGCGAGGAUGCUGGGCAGUGAGCGGAGGCGCCGGUCGGCGGUGGGUAGAGCGACGGUGGCGCGUCGUGGAGGCGGCUAGCGGCGGGCGCUGGAGCGGAGACACCGGCGGGCGCGGGGGUUGGCUGGCAGCAGGGAGUGGAGACGUCGAUCGGUAGUGGGUGUAGGAGCUCGGGCUAGAUGCCGACGACGACCGACGCUAGGGGAGAAGGAUGGUGAGGCCCGAGCAGGGGGGAGCUCGAUGGCAGCGCCAGGGGGAGCUUGAUGUCGAGGUUGGGCGGGGG
rnacentral:lncRNA from 1 species